UAGAAAAAUGAAAGGCCACUUAUUGGUGUGUUUUGGUUUGGCUUUUUGUUUGUUUGUUUUUGUUUUGUUCUGUUUUGUUUUCCUAGCUGUUCGCUGAGAAUCCUGGCCAUGUUCUUCCUUGGCCCUCGAACCAUCAGGGAACCUUUCUCAAGCUCCGACCUUCCCUCUCUCUCAGGAGCUGGUAGCAUGAGGACCCGAAUGUGUCUCCACCUUCUGUUGCCUUAGCACACAGCACAGUGCCAACCCAAAGAUGGCCCUGGGGAGCCUCUUGUGAAUGAACCAGGAAACCCUGCCACCUAGAAGGCGGCCUGAGGAACCAUAUAAAAUCAAGCCCAUCUUCCCGGAAUACACAUCCUUGGUUUAAGAAAACCCAGGAGGUUUCCCACCAUGCCCAGCAGUGCUCCGCAGAAGUAGAGAAGAGAGAGCUCAACCCUUAAUCUCCUGCUAUAAAGAAGACACUACAGCACCUUGGAGCAAUGGAAGGAAGCACCAAGAGUGGGAAGACACACCCUCUUUUGUCAUCGAUGGUGGAGAGGUGUAGGUCUGGCAGAUCCAUGCCCUUCCAGCAUGGCGGACUGCAGGUUGCCCGUCCCCCAUCACUUGGCUCUCUUCUCUGCUCCUAGGCAAUGUGCUGGCCUUCCUUCCCUCAGGUGGCUUCUCUCCUUUGGCUGCUGCAGAAACCUUUUCUGUUUUCUUGUCAUAUUGCAGCUACCAGGACUGGACUACUCUUUCUCCUUGCUCUCUCCUUCCCUUUGUCUUGGGGACAGCACCAGCAUCAGAGGCUGCAGGCUUCACGCUACUCCCUGCUCUGAGGAAUCCACCAUUCUUCCACUUUGGACGGAGGUGCUGAACCCUCUUCAUCCUGUGUUAGAGUGCUUCAAAGAGCAAUACAAGACACUGGCCAGAGUCCUGUGACACUACGUGACACAAGCUGCCCGUGCAGGCUGUCCACAUGGAAGGAAGUGGGCAGGAGCCAGCCCUGAGGACCACCCUGCAGCUUCUGAGUGAGCUGAGCAUCUGUUCCCCGGAUGCCAGUGCACAAGUGCAGGACGCCAGGGCACAGCUGAACCGUUUGCUGCAGGAACUGAAGGGCUUGGUCCCUGAGAAAGACCUGGAGUUCUGCAGGCUUGUCAGCCAGGCGGUGGAACUUUCCUCCCAGGCCAGUAAAGCUGCAGCUCUGACAAACCAGGAAGUCUGGGAAAAGGCACAGGGCACCCUCACCUGUAGCCAGUGGUACUUCAACCCAAGAUGCCCACCGAGGACCAUAGACCCCUCCCAGGACAGGAUGAAUUACAGCAGGCCUGACCCUUGAUUGCCUCAGGCAGACUGCCCAUCCGGCCACUUGGUGAGCAUUUUCUAGCUGCCUUUUCUGCUCAUUUCCAUUUCCUCAGGCCUCCUCUUUGUGGACUGAAGGAAGUUUGGUGGUCCAGUAUUCUGAAACACUUGCACACUUUGGUUUUGGUUUGCUUUGGGUUUGGUUUUUUUUUUUUUUUUUUUUUAAUUUUGCGAAACAGGGUUUCUCUGUGUAGCCCUGGCUGUCCUGGAACUCACUUUGUAGACCAGACUGGCCUCAAACUCAGAAAUCUUCCUGCCUCUGCCUCCCAAGUGCUGGGAUUAAAGGCAUGCACCACCACCACCUGGCUUGAUGAUGCCCUUGAGGUGGGAAGACACACCAGCCCCUCGGGUUUGGAUCCUAGAGUAAGUAGAGAAAGCAAGCUGAAAAAAAAAUAAUAAAAUAAAAUAAAAGUAGUCGUCUAACAGCAA